AGCUGAAGAUAUUUGAUUUGCUCAUAAUCAAGAGAACGAACUGCGCUGAGAACUCCAGUUUCAGAGUUUAGACUCACAUAAGUCGAGACUGGACUACCACUGACCUGUGUAUCCUCUAAAAUAUACGAGAUUCUUGCAUUUUGGCCCCAAUCUGAGUCUCUCGCGCUGACAGUAAAUAUGGAUACUCCAGGUGGAUUAUUUUCUGUGAUGUAAGCAGAGUAAAUUGUUUUAUCAAAUAAUGGCGCGUUGUCAUUUACGUCAGAAAUCUUUAGGUGCAAUUUUGUGGAGGUGGAAAGAGGCGGAGAACCGAAAUCAGUGGCUGUUAUUGUGAUGUUAUAUUCUGAGACAGAUUCUCUAUCAAAAUGUUGAUCUGAGAUCAAAUUGUAAUAGUUUGUCAGAGAUGAUUCAAUCUUGAAAGGCAGUUUCCCAUCGAGCGAACAUUUUAUUUGUCCA